AAGCAAGAAACUAACAGUAUUAUGGUUUCGGCCCAUAACCAGGUGAACCAUCAGUCACCCUUGCUUU
rnacentral:tRNA from 1 species